rnacentral:rRNA from 1 species
CGGGGAACCAGGACUUUUACUGUGAAAAAAUUAGAGUGUUCAAAGCAGGCCUUCGCCCGAAUACAUUAGCAUGGAAUAAUAGAAUAGGACGCGCGUUCCCAUUUUGUUGGUUUCUGAGACCGCCGUAAUGAUUAAUAGGGAUAGUCGGGGGCAUCAGUAUUCAAUCGUCAGAGGUGAAAUUCUUGGAUUGAUUGAAGACUAACUACUGCGAAAGCAU